CUUGUGCCCCAGGAGGAUUUAAAGCCCUGCCUGUGCCCAGGGAGGCAGCCCCCACGCUGCCCAUCCACGCCAUGAGGCUGCUGUCCCUGCUCCUGCUCCUGGGGCUCUGCUGCCUCUGGGCCCGGCUGCUCUCCCCAGAAUUCACCUAGCCCCCACCUGGAUCUGGACCUGGACCAAGGACCCAGUCUGUGCACACCAGACAGCCAGACAACAGCUGGACAGCCAGCCAUGGAGGGCUCCAUCAGCUGCUGGAUGAUCACCCAGCCUCCCAAUCCCACCUCAGCACCCUCAGCUCUGUGCUUGCCAUAGGGGUCUCUGUGCCCCCCACCCCCAGUAAACCCAGUCUGUGAUGAACAA